UGGGGGAUAUUGCACAAUGGGGGGAAACCCUGAUGCAGCGACGCCGCGUGGAUGAGGAAGGCCGGAAGGUUGUAAAAUCCUUUUGGGACUGAAGAAUAAGCGGUGCAGGGAAUGGCAUCGUGGUGACGGUAGGUCCUGAAUAAGCAACGGCUAAUUACGUGCCAGCAGCCGCGGUAACACGUAAGUUGCGAGCGUUGUUCGGAAUUAUUGGGCGUAAAGGGCAUGUAGGCGGCCCUGCAAGCUUGGUGUGAAAUCUAUGGGCUCAACCCAUAGACUGCAUUGAGAACUACAGGGCUUGAGCCGCUGAGGCGGAACUGGAAUUCCAGGUGUAGGGGUGAAAUCUGCAGAUAUCUGGAAGAACACCAAUGGCGAAGGCAAGUUCCGGGCAGAUGACUGACGCUGAGGUGCGAAGGUGCGGGGAGCAAACAGGAUUAGAUACCCUGGUAGU
rnacentral:rRNA from 1 species